rnacentral:rRNA from 1 species
UUAAGCUACAAAGAGCGUAGGGAGAAUGCCUAGGUACCAAGAGCCGAUGAAGGACGUGAUAAGCUGCGAAAAGCUACGGGGAGGAGCAAAUAUCCAUCAAUCCGUAGAUGUCCGAAUGAGGGAACUCAUAUGGCAAAAAGAAGCCAUAUAUCUAUGUACAAGUAAAGUAGUACAUAAGAAGGGAACGUGGGGAACUGAAACAUCUAAGUACCCAUAGGAAGAGAAAAUAAACAAUGAUUUCUGUAGUAGUGGCGAGCGAACCAGAAAGAGCCCAAACCAUAAGUAGAAAUACAUAUGGGGUACGGACUACCAUAAACUACUAACAAGUCUAAUAGAAUCAUCUGGGAAGGUGAACCAAAGACGGUGAAAGUCCAGUAUAUGAAAGAUAAGUUAGGGUAGGUAGAAUCCAGAGUAGUGCGAGACACAGGGAAUCUCGUAUGAAAGAGCGGGGACCAUCCCGUAAGGCUAAAUACUACUUGGUAACCGAUAGUGAACGAGUACCGUGAGGGAAAGGUGAAAAGGACCCCGGGAGGGGAGUGAAAGAGAACCUGAAACCCUAUGUUUACAAGCAGAUAGAGCGAUUUAAGGCGCGAUAUCGUACUUUUUGUAGAACGGUCCAGCGAGUUAUUGUAUGUGGCGAGGUUAAAUUCUAAGAAGGAAUGGAGCCGAAGAGAAAUCGAGUCUGAAAAGGGCGAAUAAGUCAUAUAUAAUAGACCCGAAACCGGGUGACCUAUCCAUGGUCAGGAUGAAGCUAAAGUAAAAUUUAGUGGAGGUCCGAACUGAUUGUCGUUAAAAAGGCACCGGAUGAACUGUGGAUAGCGGAGAAAUUCCAAUCGAACUCGGAGAUAGCUGGUUCUCCUCGAAAUAGCUUUAGGGCUAGCCUUGAGGUAAAACAUGUGGGGGUAGAGCACUGAAUGAUUUAGGGGCCAAACCAGGUUACCGACAUCUAUCAAACUGCGAAUACCAUGUGGAAGUACUCAGGAGUCAGACUGCGGGAGCUAAGUUCCGUGGUCAAAAGGGAAAGAGCCCAGACCGACAAUUAAGGUCCCAAAGAGAUAGUUAAGUGGAAAACGAUGUGAAAAUGCAAAGACAACCAGGAUGUUGGCUUAGAAGCAGCCAUACAUUAAAAGAGUGCGUAACAGCUCACUGGUCGAGUGAAUUUGCGCGGAAAAUUACCGGGGCUAAACUAUCCACCGAAAUUACGGAUUGCAGUACAUUUAACAAUGUAUGCGGAAAGAGAAAAGAAGAAAGAAGUAUAUAUUGUUAAGUGUACUGUAGUGGUAGAGGAGCAUUCUGUAGUAGGAAGAAGCUAAAGCGAGAGCAUUAGUGGACGAGACAGAAGAGAGAAUGCUGGAAUAAGUAGCGAGAGCAAGGUGAGAAUCCUUGCCGUCGAAAGUCUAAGGUUUCCUGGGGAAGGUUCGUCCGCCCAGGGUAAGUCGGGACCUAAGGAGAGGCCGAGAAGGCGUAUCUGAUGGACAGCAGGUUGAAAUUCCUGCACUACCGAUACUUUAAAAAACGUCAAGGGACGCAGGAGAGGAAGGAAAGCGAGGAAGAGGAAAGACUCGUAUCGAAAGAUAUAGUGAAAAAAUGAAGUAACGAAUUUCCAAGAAUCACACUGACGAGAAAAGCUUGAUGACAUUAAGUAAAGGUACCCGUACCGCAAACCGACACAGGUAGAUGAGGAGAGGAUCCUAAGACGAACGGGAGAAGCAUUGUUAAGGAACUCGGCAAAAUGACCCCGUAACUUCGGGAGAAGGGGAACCUAGGUAAAACUAGGUCGCAGAGAAAAGGCCCAAGCAACUGUUUAACAAAAACACAGGUUUCUGCUAAAUCGAAAGAUGAAGUAUAGGAGCUGACGCCUGCCCAGUGCUGGAAGGUCAAGGGGAGAUGUUAGAAGAAAUUCGAAGCAUAGAACCAAAGCCCCAGUGAACGGCGGCCGUAACUAUAACGGUCCUAAGGUAGCGAAAUUCCUUGUCAGGU